CCUACGGGGGGCAGCAGUGGGGAAUAUUGCACAAUGGGGGAAACCCUGAUGCAGCAACGCCGCGUGAGUGAAGAAGUAUUUCGGUAUGUAAAGCUCUAUCAGCAGGGAAGAAGAAAGACAGUACCUGACCAAGAAGCCCCGGCUAACUACGUGCCAGCAGCCGCGGUAAUACGUAGGGGGCAAGCGUUAUCCGGAUUCACUGGGCGUAAAGGGAGCGCAGGCGGCACGGCAAGUCUGAUGUGAAAACCCGGGGCUCAACCCCGGGACUGCAUUGGAAACUGCCGGGCUGGAGUGUCGGAAGGGUA
rnacentral:rRNA from 1 species